CUCACGAAGACGUCCAGGUGUGGCCC
rnacentral:piRNA from 1 species